rnacentral:rRNA from 1 species
AGCGAACGCUGGCGGCAGGCUUAACACAUGCAAGUCGAACGCAUCCUUCGGGGUGAGUGGCAGACGGGUGAGUAACGCGUGGGAACAUGCCCUUUGGUUCGGAAUAACACAGGGAAACUUGAGCUAAUACCGGAUAAGCCCUUUUGGGGAAAGAUUUAUCGCCGAGGGAUUGGCCCGCGUCCGAUUAGCUAGUUGGUGAGGUAAUGGCUCACCAAGGCGACGAUCGGUAGCUGGUCUGAGAGGAUGAUCAGCCACACUGGGACUGAGACACGGCCCAGACUCCUACGGGAGGCAGCAGUGGGGAAUAUUGGACAAUGGGGGCAACCCUGAUCCAGCCAUGCCGCGUGAGUGAUGAAGGCCCUAGGGUUGUAAAGCUCUUUCGGCGGGGACGAUAAUGACGGUACCCGCAGAAGAAGCCCCGGCUAACUUCGUGCCAGCCGCCGCAGUAA